GCGCCUGUAGCUCAAUUGGAUAGAGCAUCUGUCUACGAAACAGAAGGUUACUAGUUCGAAUCUUGUCAGGCGCA